rnacentral:ncRNA from 1 species
AGGCGUUGCAUGGCUGUCGUCAGCUCGUGUUGUGAGAUGUUUGGUUUAUUCCCUUAACGAGCGAAACCCCUAUUUUUAAUUGCUAAUUUAUCAUAAAAAGAUCUUUAUAAUAAAAGUACUUUAAAAAAAAAGUUAAUAAUAAAUUAACGGAAGGUGGGGAUUACGUCAAGUCUUCAUGGCCC